UAACCCUAAGACACUACUUUCCCCAUUUCCCCUCUUUCGAUUAGAGAUUUGAUAUCCAAAAUAUUCUAAAGAUCUCAACUUUUUCUCUCGAAAAAUCUUGUUCUCCCUAAAUCCCGAUACCCGAAAUCGUUUCUUAAUCCAAUCUUCUUCGAAUCUACUUUCUGCAAGUCGUGAACCCUAGAAUAUCGUUUCUUAUAUAAGCCUAUGAGAUGGAGAAAGAAGUCGAUCAAACUUCUUUUGUUUCGGUUUCAAAGUUUCAACCGUUCAUUGGUCUUGAAGACUGAAGCUGCUGACGAUCUUUGGUCUUUGAGAAAGAGUUUGAGAAGGUGAGACUCGAAGACUGAAGCUGCUGAAGAUCGUUUUGUUUCAUUUCCAUGUUGGUUUUUAUUUCUUUUUCAUUUGAGAUAUGCAUUCUCUGAGCUUUGACAAUUGCUUUUAAGGUUUUGGUGUUGGUUUUUUUAUCUUUGUUGCUUAUGCACUACGUUGAAUUUUAAUAAAGAUUAAGAGAUUUGCUUUCA